rnacentral:rRNA from 1 species
GGAUUAGAUACCCUGGUAGUCCACGCCGUAAACGAUGUCAACUAGCCGUUGGAUUCAUCAGGAAUUUGGUGGCGCAGCUAACGCGAUAAGUUGACCGCCUGGGGAGUACGCCGGCAACGGUAAAACUCAAAGGAAUUGACGGGGGCCCGCACAAGCGGUGGAGCAUGUGGUUUAAUUCGAUGCAACGCGAAGAACCUUACCAGGCCUUGACAUCCUCGGAACUUUCCAGAAAUGGAUUGGUGCCUUCGGGAACCGAGUGACAGGUGCUGCAUGGCUGUCGUCAGCUCGUGUUG